CUUUAAUUAAUUGAAAAUACGUACCAUGAUUUGUAUUGCGUUUUGUUUUACGUUCGUGCGUAAUGUGCAAACGACGUUGUAUAAUACCUGAGAUAGACAGAUGUCUCAACUUGGUGAGGACUUGAGAGCAUCAAAUAGACGCGCCUAUGCUGAGGGAUCCAGGAAAAAUUUGAGGAUCCAGUGGGAAUCAUUUCUUUUGUUUUGCUGUCAUUUUGGAAAUCAGAAUGGACUGAUUCAAUGUGCAGUGAUGUAAAGGCAGUAGGUAAGAAAUUGCAGGUUGUCAUUGUUUGAUUAUUUAUG